rnacentral:lncRNA from 1 species
UUCCACUCUAUGGGGCAGGAUCAGGUUUAACAAUUUCUCCAACCGGAGGUGAAGUUCCUUCGACACUGAAGUUUGGAAUCCGAUCAAGAGGAGAAGUUGUGGGAAAGCUGGUGAAGACAACACACAAGAAGCAAAUCACCUGCCCUUUAGUCAUAGACAUUCUCAGCACUAAGCCCAUCAAGUUCAAGAAGAAUGCAUGCACAUAUGACUGAUCAGACCGAAUGUUGGUUGAUGAAGUGUUGAGUUGUGUAUAAGUUGCUCAUGUUUUUCCUGUUAUUGUAUUUUCUGGAUUGCGGCCUGGGUUUCUUCCACUUCAUAAGGAAAAAUGAGAUGUAUUCAUAGUCCUUUUAAGGUUCACGCAAGCAAUAUGCAAAGCUAUGUUGCACGUACGAUAUGUUUAGUCUUUUGAAAGGAUCAUGGAAGUGAAAUAAUGUUUGCCAAGAAUGUAAAUCAACAGAGGAGAUUGUGUAUAAUUCUAUGCUUGUUGCUUAGCUCCAUCUUUCUUGCCGCUGCAUUCCAAACCCAAUGAGGUUCCGUGUGAGCAUUAAAUCUUAAAGUAAGCUUUUAAAUAAGUCAAAAUAUUUUAUUGUCUCUUCCCAUAUAAAAUUGUGUUUCAUAUGGUAACUCGGGCUUACUAAGACAAGGAGGCUAGCAAAAAUGGAAAUAUAGUAAACAUUAACAUUCUAUGAAAAAAAUAAAUUAAUUUAAUAAAAGUCAUGAAAAUUUAAUCUCAAUAAAAUUAUACCACACUAUCUUCUUUAAUUGGUAAAAUCGGAUAUUUGACCCAAAAAAAUAAAAAAUAAAAAAAAAUAAAAAGCGAAAGUUUUGGAUCAUUGGAAUUAGUAUUUCUUUUGGAAAAAAAAUAAAUAUAAAUAAAACAAGAAUAAAAAAGAGGACCAAAGGGGUGCACGUCCAUAACUUUAGUAGUUUCUUUGACUGUCGACAGCUCCCCUUGUAUCUUCAUUUCGCAUUGUUUUAGUUAAAAAUCUUUUCACGCAAAACCCUCACAAGUCCAGAUCUCUUAUUGAAUCUCACUGCAUAUUCUCAAGUACCCAGAAAUCAAAAUCACUCGGUUUCCAUGUUUCCCGCAAAACCCACUUCAAGAUUCAUCCUUUUCACCCUCUCUCUCCUUCUACUCAUCUCAUUCUUCACCACCACCACCAUUGCAAUUGCCUCUGAUCUUGACACUGUCAAGGCAGAGAUUACUGUCAAGGUAUGCUAAUUUAGUUCCUUAAUUUCUCUUGUUUUUGGUAUCUAAUUUUGUUUUUUUGUUAUAUUUAACUCAGGUUAGUUUAACUCAUAAAACCUUCUAGGUGAUUUUUUCUAGUCAUGCUAUGCUCACAAAAACAAAAAUUAAAAAUAAAUAACUUUGGUGGGUGAAAAGUUGAAGCAUGAGUAAUCAAGGAAUGAUUUUAAUACAGAAGGAAUUUUAAUUCUGUUUGGUUUUAUGUAGUUAAAAUGCGCAAGGCUAAUAAACGGAUUUUGUAGUGGAAUAAUCUCAAAAUUCUAUAAUGAAGCUGCCACUGUGUUUUGUAGCUAAAAUGAGGCAAUUGGAUUGGCUAAGAGAUGAGAUUAAUUGUAACAAAAGCUCAUGUCUGUAAUCAAAUUUUAGGUUCAUAUCAUAUGCAUUCUGAAUUUUUUCUGGCUGCCUAAAGGACAUUUGAUCUUUGCAGAGCUUAUCAAUGCACAACUUCUAUGUCGGUGAGGGUUCAGACUCCACUGGAGUUCCAACAAAGAUGCUAACAAUGAAUGGCUCAUUGAAGAUAAGCGUGUACAACCCUGCUACAAUAUUUGGCAUUCAUGUCAGCUCCACGCCUAUCGAUGUCGUCUACUCAGAGAUUGUUAUUGCAACUGGGCAGGUGAGAACUCUGGUCUCAAACAUGUCAACAACAACGAAAAAUGUUAGUUUUUUCGGUCGUAUUAAACUUCUCAAUGCUAACAAGCAAAAGCCCUAAUCAUCUUGCAACGCUGCAACUUGUGAUGACUUGCAGUUGAAGAAAUAUUAUCAGCCAAGGAAAAGUCACCGAACUGUGUCGGUGAACUUGCAAGGUAACAAGGUUCCACUCUACGGGGCAGGAUCAGGUUUGACAAUUACUCCAACCGGAGGUGAAGUUCCGUCGACACUGAAGUUUGGAAUCCGAUCAAGAGGAGAAGCUGUGGGAAAGCUGGUGAAGACAACACACAAGAAGCAAAUUACCUGCCCUUUAGUCAUCGACAUUCUCAGCACUAAGCCCAUCAAGUUCAAGAAGAAUGCAUGCACAUAUGACUGAUCAGACCGAAUGUUGGUUGAUGAAGUGUUGAGUUUUGUAUAAGUUGCUCAUGUUUUUCCUGUUAUUG